rnacentral:rRNA from 1 species
UACGUAGGUGGCAAGCGUUGUUCGGAAUUAUUGGGCGUAAAGGGCGCGUAGGCGCCUUGCAAGUGACGGGUGAAAUCCCUCGGCUUAACCGAGGAACUGCCUGUCAAACUGCGUGGCUUGAGACCAGGAGAGGUGAGUGGAAUUCCCAGUGUAGCGGUGAAAUGCGUAGAUAUUGGGAGGAACACCAGUGGCGAAGGCGGCUCACUGGACUGGUACUGACGCUGAUGCGCGAAAGCGUGGGGAGCAAACAGG